rnacentral:rRNA from 1 species
UACGUAGGUGGCAAGCGUUGUCCGGAUUUACUGGGCGUAAAGAGCGCGCAGGCGGUCGAUCAAGUCGAGUGUGAAAGCCCCCGGCUCAACUGGGGAGGGUCAUUCGAUACUGAUCGACUCGAAGGCAGGAGAGGGUAGUGGAAUUCCCGGUGUAGUGGUGAAAUGCGUAGAGAUCAGGCAGAACACCUGGGGCGAAGGCGGCCAGCUGGGCCGUCCCUGACGCUGAGGCGCGAAGGCGUGGGGAGCGAACGGG